rnacentral:lncRNA from 1 species
AUUUGAUUUAGGGUUUGGGUUAAGGUUUGUUUAGGAUUUGAUUUAGGGUUUAGAAUUUGAUUUAGGAUUUGGUUGGAAUUUGAUUUAAGGUUUGAUUUAAGGUUAGGAUUUGAUUAGGGUUUGAUUUAGGAUUUAGGAUUUGGUUUAGGGUUUGAUUAGGAUUUGGUUUAGCAUUUAGAGUUUGGUUAGGAUUUUAUUUAGGAUUUAGAAUUUAAUUAGGAUUUAGUUUAAGGUUUAUUUAGGAUUUGAUUUAGGAUUUAGGAUUUGAUUAGGGCUUAAUUAGGAUUUGGUUUAGGGUUUAGGAUUUGCUUUAGGAUUUGGUUGGAAUUUGGUUUCAAGUUUUUUUGGGGUUUGGUUUAGGGUUUGGAUAGAAUUUGGUUCAGGAUUUGGAUAGAAUUUGGUUUAGAAUUUGAUUAGGGUUUGGUUUAGAGUUUGAUUAGGAUUUGGUUUAGAGUUUAGGAUUUGGUUUAGGGUUUAGGAUUUGAUUUAGGAUUUAUUUAGGGUUUAAGAUUUAAUUAGUUUUGGCCUAAAGUUUGAAUGAAGUCCAAUAGGAUUUUAAUUAGGAUUAAAUUAAGAUUGAAUUGAGAUGUAUUUGAGAUAUAUUUGUGAUCAUUCUAGUAUUUUUGUAAGAUUUCUUAUUAUUUUUUUGAAAUUUCUUUGACGUUUCUUUGAAUUUGAUUAAAGCUUACUUAGUAUUAUUAUGGUCUAAUUAAAUUUUAGUUAGUAUUCUAUUAGAGUUAGGAUUUUUUUGUUGCAAUUUCCAUUCUAUCUUCCACAGCCAAGUAUCCAGAGCAUUCUCAAGCAAGACUUCACGUAUUACGACAACAAGAUCCAAUAUUGGAUAAUCUGGAGGCUUUUUUAGCAAAGUUUUGAUCCAUGUAUACAUGAUACAAUUCAUAUUGCAACCAAUAAGAUCCAUAUUUUGCGAUAA